rnacentral:rRNA from 1 species
UAAAAAAUAAAGAGUCGAGCCUGCCCAGUGAUAAAUAUUUAACGGCCGCGGUACUCUGACCGUGCAAAGGUAGCAUAAUCAUUUGCCUUAUAAUUGAAGGCUAGUAUGAAUGGUUUGACGAAAACAAUACUGUCUCUUUUUAAUUUUAUAAAAUUUGAUCUUUAGGUGAAGAAGCCUAAAUAAAAUUGAAAGACAAGAAGACCCUAUCGAGCUUAAAAAAAUUUUGUUAAAAUAAAAUGGCUAUAAAAGACCUGCUAUAACAAAAAAUUUUAGUUGGGGCGACUAAGGAACAAAAAAGCUUCCGCUUUAUAAUAAAAGCUUAUAAGCUAUGAUCCAAAAUUCUUGAUUAAAAAAAUUAGCUACCGUAGGGAUAACAGCAUAAUCUUUUUUGAGAGUUCUUAUCGAAAAAUAGGUUUGUGACCUCGAUGUUGGACUAGAAUAUCCUAAAUGAUGCAGAAGUCUUUAAGGGUUGGUCUGUUCGACC